AUACAGAGGGUGCGAGCGUUAAUCGGAAUUACUGGGCGUAAAGCGCGCGUAGGCGGCUUGGUCAGUCGGAUGAGAAAGCCCCGGGCUCAACCUGGGAAUGGCAUUCGAUACUGCCAGGCUAGAGUAUGGGAGAGGGAAGUGGAAUUUCCGGUGUAGCGGUGAAAUGCGUAGAUAUCGGAAGGAACACCAGUGGCGAAGGCGACUUCCUGGCCCAAUACUGACGCUGAGGUGCGAAAGCGUGGGGAGCGAACAGGAUUAGAUACCCUAGUAGUCC
rnacentral:rRNA from 1 species